ensembl:piRNA 21ur-646 ncRNA
CUAUAAAUAACAAAUUUUGAG